CACGUAGGGGGCGAGCGUUGUCCGGAUUUAUUGGGCGUAAAGAGCUCGUAGGCGGUUUGUCGCGUCUGCUGUGAAAACUGGAGGCUCAACCUCCAGCCUGCAGUGGGUACGGGCAGACUAGAGUGCGGUAGGGGAGAUUGGAAUUCCUGGUGUAGCGGUGGAAUGCGCAGAUAUCAGGAGGAACACCGAUGGCGAAGGCAGAUCUCUGGGCCGUAACUGACGCUGAGGAGCGAAAGCAUGGGGAGCGAACAGG
rnacentral:rRNA from 1 species